AAAUGGAUCCAAACAGGGAUUCUGGGCAGUUUUCUUGCUGUUCCUUCUGACAUGUCAGUUCAGAGCAGUUGGUAACAUAGCGACAGGCUGCAGCACUUCAUUAUCAUCACAAUCUGCUACCUUUUUAAUAUAGUGCCUGACAUUUCAGUCAGACAGAGAGCUUCAUCCUUAAGCUGGCAGGAACUUUAUGCUGUGCACGGGAGAACAUCACUUUGCUGGGUAUGUGGACCAGACUUCAUGUGAAACAGAGGGUCUUCAUCUUUUGCCUAAAACCUUUAUUUCACAAAUACCUUUAAAUUUCUCCAUCCAUGUUCUCUCUUCUUUCCCAAUCAAGAAACAAUAAAAAGAAGGUUUUAGCCUUGCGCACCUCAGUUUGGAUCAUUGUCACAAGCCUUGAACUGGGCCAUGAGAGAGGGGAGGAAAAUGUUAAGCAAUCUAUUGAGCAACAACUUCAAACCCUCAAAAUUACACUGAUAUUAAGCCUGGCUGAAAAAAAAAGAAGAGCAGAUGCAAUGUCUGGGUGAGUUUGUGAAACACUGGCUUGUGCCAGAAUGUUUUCAAUGUUUUACUUGUGAUUCUGCAGGUUUUUUUCUGCUAGCCUUGCCAAGUAAGCAGUCCAAGGAAAUAAAGUCUGCACUAGGCUAAGCAGAGAUACUGAGCUGUGGCAUCUUGAUCUCAUCCUCCACUGGUGGUUCCUCACCUUUAUCAACAAAAGAAUAAAAAGUGUAUUAAAAUAAUUUCUGGUCUUUUUUUUUGGUUGGUUUUGGGGUUUGUGUGGCUUUUUUUGUUUUGUUUGUUUUGUUUUGUUUUUACCUGAGAUGCUACAACAACAGCAAGGAAUCCUUUAUUCCUUCUGAAAUUGUCUGAAGGUCCCUGGCUGUAGGACUGUCAUUGUUGUCAGAAUGGAUCAAAACUCCAGUUACACUCAAA